rnacentral:siRNA from 1 species
AGCGAUGCCUUCACUCGAUCGCAA